rnacentral:rRNA from 1 species
ACUCAAAUGAAUUGACGGGGGCCCGCACAAGCGGUGGAUGAUGUGGAUUAAUUCGAUGCAACGCGAAAAACCUUACCUACCCUUGACAUGCCAGGAAUCCUGCAGAGAUGUGGGAGUGCCCGAAAGGGAAUCUGGACACAGGUGCUGCAUGGCUGUCGUCAGCUCGUGUCGUGAGAUGUUGGGUUAAGUCCCGCAACGAGCGCAACCCUUGCCAUUAGUUGCUACAUUUAGUUGGGCACUCUAAUGGGACUGCCGGUGACAAACCGGAGGAAGGUGGGGAUGACGUCAAGUCCUCAUGGCCCUUAUGGGUAGGGCCUCACACGUCAUACAAUGGUCGGUACAGAGGGUUGCCAACCCGCGAGGGGGAGCCAAUCUCAGAAAGCCGAUCGUAGUCCGGAUUGUAGUCUGCAACUCGACUGCAUGAAGUCGGAAUCGCUAGUAAUCGCGGAUCAGCAUGUCGCGGUGAAUACGUUCCCGGGCCUUGCACACACCGCCCGU